UAAAGACUCUCUGGAAUGUUAUUUACUGAGCAAGCAGAUAAGAAGACUCUUGUAAACCAAACAGGAGCGACACUUUGGUUCCCAGUGGACGGCACGGAGAACAACAGGAAGCAGUCAUUUGAUCAGAUUGGAGUUCUCACAAAGGCAGAGCGAUAAGGAUGCAGCUUACUCAAUAAUGGGUGUGAACACGGGUAAAGCACUGUGUCGACACAACUGGAGCUAAACCUGUGAGUUAUGAGGAAGCCACCGUGAAGCUUGCUUCCGUUGCUGUUGCCAUCUUGCAUCAAGUAUCCCUGUAUUCGUCCAGGAUCCAACUGCUGUGGACCACCCACAUCUUUCAGGAAGUGGCACAAUUUCUACAUUUAAAAUUAUGGUAAAAAAAAAAAAAAGCAUAAUUUGCUAUGUAACAUAAUUGCAUUUCCACAGUUAUGCUGAUUGAGCCCAACUCUACAUUUCUGGUAAACUAGCAGAGGGCUUUGCAGUUUUAGUAGUUUUUAAUUUCCACAUUAUAAUGGCACUAAAAGUACCAGCAGUAAUUUUUAUUUCCUUUUUUUACUGUUAGAUUGGAAACAACAUGUGUGUUUACAUCAUUUUAAGAGGGACAUAUUAUGCAAGUCACUUUUUGCAUGUUUUUGUACUUCCAUUUGGGUUUUGACUGCCUCUAAAAACAGCUAAAGCACUUAAAAACAGCUGUGUUUUGGUAAUAAGUUAGUGUUUUUUGGUGUUUGGAAAACUAGCCAUUUAAAAAUUUCCCCAUUGCUAAGUCGCUGCACCGUUGCCUAGCAACGCCAGCCAAGCUCAGCCCCAUUAUUGAGCAAUCCA